rnacentral:rRNA from 1 species
CCUACGGGGGGCAGCAGUGAGGAAUAUUGGUCAAUGGGCGCAAGCCUGAACCAGCCAUGCCGCGUGCAGGAAGACGGUCCUAUGGAUUGUAAACUGCUUUUAUUUGGGAAUAAACCUCCUUACGUGUAGGGAGCUGAAGGUACCAAAUGAAUAAGCACCGGCUAACUCCGUGCCAGCAGCCGCGGUAAUACGGAGGGUGCAAGCGUUAUCCGGAAUCAUUGGGUUUAAAGGGUCCGCAGGCGGAUUUAUAAGUCAGUGGUGAAAGCCUACAGCUCAACUGUAGAACUGCCAUUGAAACUGUAAGUCUUGAAUUCGGUCGAAGUGGGCGGAAUAUGACAUGUAGCGGUGAAAUGCUUAGAUAUGUCAUAGAACACCGAUAGCGAAGGCAGCUCACUAGGCCUGGAUUGACGCUCAGGGACGAAAGCGUGGGGAGCAAACAGGAUUAGAUACCCCAGUAGUC